UAACGAAUAUUGGGCAAUGGGCGCAAGCCUGACCCAGCAAUGCCGCGUGCAGGAGGAAGCCCUUCGGGGUGUAAACUGCUGUCAGGGUUUCGCAAGCAAUGCCGGUUAAUAGCCGGCGGCGCUGAGCAGACCCAGAGGAAGUCUCGGCUAACUCUGUGCCAGCAGCCGCGGUAAGACAGAGGAGGCGAGCGUUGUUCGGAAUUAUUGGGCUUAAAGCGCGUGUAGGCGGCUUGGUAAGUGUUCCGUGAAAGCCCACGGCUCAACCGGGGAACUGCGGGGCAUACUGCCCGGCUUGAGGUCGCUAGGGGUGCCUGGAACUCUAGGUGGAGCGGUGAAAUGCGUAGAUAUCUAGAGGAACGCCAGAGGCGAAAGCGAGGCACUGGAACGAUUCUGACGCUGAGACGCGAAAGCGUGGGGAGCAAACA
rnacentral:rRNA from 1 species